ACUGUUCCUAACAGUAUUAUUCCACUGCAAGUUUGCUUUACUUUGAUGAUAUCUUACAACAAGCCAAUGAUGGAGAUAAGUUUCAUGAAGAGGUAUAGGAUUACCAGCUUCAUCAACUACUUCAGCAUUGAAACUCUUGAUUGCUACACGACCUCUUGGAAAAUCAAUAUCAUAAUAAAUUCCAUUAACAACUGAUCCAGGUCCUAGCUCAAAUUUGGGGGACAAAAAAACAGCUGAUUUUAUCUUAGCUUUAGUCUUCAGAAUUGAACCUGAGCAUGAUGUGCUCAACAACAGAAGAAGUAUUGCAAGUGAAGAUACAAAAUUUUCAGACAUAAAAGUAGAACACAUGUUGAUCUGUUAGCAAAAGAACACAGUUGGGGUUUGUUUGUUUGUUGAGGAGAAAUUUAGAGUUUGUCGGUAUCAAAUGGUAGAUUUAACUUAUAUUUAUAGAUCAAUGAAUGAAUGAAAGUGAAGUAAUUUAAAAAAAAGUCAUGUUCUGUUGAACCCAUUGGGAUUGGUCGAGUGGUGUUGGCUUGGGCUCUUGGAGUAUGCUCCUCUCAAGGUCUCAGGUUCGAUUCCCACUGGUGCCAAUUUCGGUGAGCUAAGUCCAUACAGAGCAAAAAAAACUCUGGCUUUAAAUGGGGCCCCCGCAAGUGGGCGGUGGAAUUGGUCCCCUUAAAUUAGUCGGUCCUAAGACCGGAUACCAAGUUUUUAAAAAAAAAAGAGUCAUGUUCUGUUGUUUCCUAGUAGGUAACACUCAUCAAUAGGUUCGUUGCAAAAUUUAAGUAUGCACAGGAAAAACGUUUAACUUACUGUGAGAUCUUACACCUCAUGUUGAUAAUUUAAGGAUAUUUAAGUCACUUCAUAUGCAUAUGACAAAUUAUCAAUGGGUCCUAGUUUGACUAGCGAAAACAGUUUCAAAAUCAAACACAAUAUAAUUGAAAUUAUGUUGUCCAGUCUCUUAUUUUUUAGCAGAUUAAAUGCACAAAUUUUACUCCAUCUAAUCUAACCUUAGUUUUGCGAGCUUAAUUAUAACUUAUAAGUAAAUAUUUCACUCAUUUAAUAACCGGUUAAAUACAUCGGUUUUAUUCAAUAAAUCUAUAAAAAAGAAGUGACAAAAUUACACCAUGAGUCAUUUAUCUUAUUUAUUUCUAAUAGAUUUGUCGGGUAUUUUUUUUUUAAAAAAAAAAACUGAUCACCUAUCUUGAUAAAUGUGCACAAUUUAAUCAUUUAUCAUAUUUAUUUGUAAUAUAUUCAUCUAUUAUCUUAUUUAUUUGUAACAUAUUCGUCCUUUAUCUUUUUUUCUUUUCCCACACAUGUCAUUUAUCUUUAUAAAUGUGCACAACUUAAUUUUUUAUCUUAUUUAUUUGUAACAUAAUAAAAUGUUUGAAACAUGGAACAAGGUGUUCUUGCGAUGAAGCACCGACACCUCUAUGAUUAGGCGUGUCGCGAUGUCCGACACGUGUCGGUGUCCGACACACGUAUGACACUCGUACGACACGUGUCGGAUAGCUCAGAUCGGUGUCCAUAAAAACUCAAUUUUUCAAUAAAUAACUUGCUCAACUUAGAUUUACAUGUAUAUAUUUUGACUCUCAAUUUAUAUUUUUUAUAAAUAUGUAGCGGUGUCGGUGUUCUAUAUUUUUUACAAUAGCGGUGUCGCGGCGUCCGUGUCGGUGUCGUGUCGCAGUGUCCGUGUCGGAGUCUGUGCUUCAUAGCUUGCGAGUAUAUUUGGAAAGACACUAAAGGUUGGAUUUUAAAUGUUAGUGGUUAAGUCGAAUGUUGGAUAUACAAGAGAAGUGACUCAUGAACUAAUACCUUAAAGUUUUGUGUAGAGAUACGACGUCUCCCUCUCAUGUGAUCCUGGAGUAUUAACUCAUUGUUACUUUCGACGCUACCUGAACUCUCCAGUAAAUGGUAUCAAAACUGUGGUUCGAUAGUGUUUAUAAAAUUUGAUCACCUCUCUUCUUACAAGCAGAUUUUAUAAGAUCGAAUUAGACUCAAGUUAAAUUCUAACAAAACCCUUUGAUUGUUACUAUUCUCUGCACUCUGCAGAUGUCCUGUUAUUCUUCUGGACUGCCUUAAUCUCAUGACUUGUGUGAGAAUUAACUACAAGAGAAUAGUAAAAAUAUGCUAAUAAUAACAACCAUGGCUUGAAUGUGGUUGAACACUUCUGGCUUGAAUUCAGUAUAAUCUUGAAGGCCGUUCUCUUUAUUUAUUUAGCAAAUCCUUGAAUAUUAAUAUUGGUUACUCCAAGGCUAAUAUUUAGAUAUAAUUUAUCUCAAUUUAAGCCAUUGGAUAUAUCUUUUUUUAACUUCUGAGUCUCGUCAUACAUUACCUGUGUAUAUAUAGUGUAUAUCUAUCUGUCUGAUUUAAGGGGCUAUAAAAUAUUUAUGCCAGGAUCCUGUUUGUUACACUACACAGUAAGAUUACUACAGAUGCNNNNNNNNNNNNNNNNNNNNNNNNNNNNNNNNUUUCAGAUCAGAGAUUAGUUCUAUAAAAAUGUGUUAAUCUAUUACUAUCACUUUCUACCCUUGAGGCCUUGACAAAUGAGUUCAUUCUCACUAUUGAAAUGAGAGGAAGUGACGGGGACCAGAGUUGAGGCGAAGUUACAAACGUAGGGAGCAGCGACGGUUGAGCUAUGAACGAGGAAGCAAAUGUGGGUUCACAAUUUUGCCAAGGGUGGCAGACAACUGACUUGUUCCGUAAGGAAGCCACACCUGUGGCAGGACCCUAUACUUGUUCCAUAGCCACUUUGCAUGUACGUUUCAAGAGAGAAGAUCUUUUAAGCAACUUUAGGACAUAAACAACAUUAGCUACUCACAAUUCCUAAUAUUAAACAUCAAAAUAAAUUUGUGAUGUGUAACAUCAAAAUAAAUAAAAAUGGCUAAUGGGUUAUAAGUGUUCUAAUGAAACAGAAAUAUUCUUCAUAAUAAAUGGAAAUCCCAUUAUUUUAAGCAUAUCAAUAUGCUUUUUAUUUUUUGAAACAUAAGCAUAUCAAUAUGCUACAUUGUACAACAAACAUACCACAUAGCCAUAUCCAUAUGAUACCAGAAAGAGUGGAUGAAUACAAAAAUACAAACUAAACAAUUACAGGAAACUAGAGGAUAGAAUGUCUAAAGUGCUGGUAUAUGGGAGUUGUUCGGCUACUAAAAGGUAGAAAAGCCCCAUUACUCCAGCGUGUUCCUUGGUGUUAUUGUAGAUAGAUUCUAGAGUUAAAGUUUCACCAUCGAUUAUCUUGACAGAACCUGGUUGAGGAUAACAAGUGGACAUUCCUACAAUGUGCCCUACUUCAUUUCCUGCUUCAUUCCCAUUUCCAUAAAUUGGUAUAGAUGAACAUAUAACCCUCCCGUCCUGAAAACAUAAUCCACAAAUUUCACAAAACAAGCUACUGCACAAUGUUUAACUACUUGAUCAAAGGUAAAAGUACUAGAAAACAACCCUGGUACAAAAGUAAACAUUCGAAAAACGACCAAGUAUUGAAGUUACAAACUCAAAGUCUUACCACUACCAAAUAUUUAAGAAUGACAAUAAGUUGUAACUAUUGCAAAUUACCUGUCCAUAUAGAGUUGAUCCAAUUCCGCCCGAAUGUUGAUGAGCAACCCCAUAGAUCACAUAGCCACCUGUUUGAAAUGGGAGAUUUGUCCUCUUUACAUGAACACAACCAUUUUCCUCCUUGUGGUCUGUACUGCAUGAUUCUACUUGAUACUCAACCUGAAACCAAAAAAAAUUCCAUGUUGCUUACUAUAAAACCCAACAAAGUAGAGUUUUAGAGUUAAAUAGAGAUUUAGACAAACAAACUACAUAUAUAGUUGAGAGACUCGACAUUCACACAAUCAGUACACCGGUAGCCGUUGGAUUGAGAUUGGACCAUCAUAGAUUCCAAGUGCGGUAUUUUGGAUUUUCAAACAAUCAAAAUCAUAUAUUUUGGGAAAUGUCCGAUUUUUAACCAACAGUCACUGGUGCAUUGAAUACGUGAAAGCAGGGUAUCCCAACUACACUGAACCCAUUUCAACUAACCAAAUGUUUCUUGAUAAAUUCAUUUACCUUGCAAUUAUGAUCUGAGUUCGUUCCUUUUGAAUCAUCUGAUAGUUUCAAAGUAUCAGUCACAUCAAGUACAUAUAUCUUAACAGGCACUAUAUAAUCAUCCCAAUCAAUCCAUUUCACUUUGUAUCUUAAGUAGAGGCUUCUCUUUGGACCCUCAAAACCUUCCUUCAGCUUGCACUGUGUAUUAUCAUAACAACAUAACAAACCUCCUUUAUAAUCUGGUCUAAUAGACCUUCCAGAUUCAUCGAUUGUAACAUUAUAAAGGUCACACUUACACUCGGUGCACCCUGAUUUAUCCUCUGCGCCGCGAUUAUCAAUAGCAUGAAUAUUAACCAGCCAUUUCUCCUCAAACUCUUCUGGAAUCUCUGCAGGAUUACCUAUCUCUAUUCCAAAAGGAUCCGGAAUAUCAGUCGCCGUUCGUCGUGUUUCGGAUCCAAGGCCAAAGUAUUGUGCAUAAAUAGUUCCCUGACACAUGCCACUGUUCCUAAAAGUAUUUUUCAAAUGCGAGUUUGCUUUACUUUGAUGAUAUCUUACAACAACCCAAUGAUGGAGAUAAGUUUCAUGGAGAGGUAUAGGAUUACCAGCUUCAUCAACUACUUCAGCAUCGAAACUCUUGAUUGCUACAUGACCUCUUGGAAAAUCAAUAUCAUAAUAAAAUCUAUUAACAACUGAUCCAGGUCCUAGCUCAAAUUUGGGGGAUAAGAAAACAGCUGAUUUUAUCUUAGCUUUAGUCUUCAGAAUAGAACCUGAGCAAGAUGUGCUCAACAACAGAAGAAGUAUUGAAAGUGAAAAUACAAAAUUUCCAGACAUAGAACACAUGUUGAUCUUAGCAAAAUCUUGCAUGAUAGUCCUCCCUGGAAGCCUUUAAAAAAGUGAAUUAAACUACAAAAUAAACAAAACAGAUAAUAUAUGGCAGAUCAUAUCACCAAAUAAACUAACUACACAAAUAAGCAUGAAAAAGACAUAGUUUGAACAAAAUCAUCAUCAUCAAGAUUUUAAAUUAGUCACAUGGCAACUUAUAAAUACAGUUGAAGUUGAUUCAGCUUCAAUUGCAAUCACAACUAGUCAUCAAAAUUUUGAUGUUGUGACUACAAUUGUUGUCACAGAACAUAACAUUUUUAAAACAUAAACUUAUGAUCAAGCAACUUUGUUUUAUAUUAAAAAAAAAAGUAUAAUUAGCAAUAUUAGAUAGUGAUUAUAGAAACUAAUGACCAAAAAGGAUUAGAGUAUAUGAUCAAGAAUAGAUAGAUGAGAUUGCAUACCUCAAGAAAGUCUGGAAAAUGACAGAGUCUGGAAAUUUAGAGUGUGUCGGUAUUAAAUAGUAGAUAAGAUAAUGAAUGAGUGAAUGAAUGCAAGUGUAGAGAUUGUAAUUCAAUAUUUUAAAUUAUCUUUUCUUUCCUUUUUGGGACACGCAGCCCCUAAAUAUAUUUAGCCGACUAAAUUAAUAUAUUUAAAUAGCUUAAGCAUUUUAUUAAAAAUAAAUGGUAUAAUCAACUUCUGAUAAUGUCUAAUUUUUUUUUUUAAGUAAAAAUGGAAAGCAUGACAUCAUAGUAAGUCAUCGACAUCCCAACUAUAUUGACACCUCAGUGCACUAUCACUCCUCUAUUAUCUCACCAAAAAUAUACUUCAUAAUUUGUCUUAUCCUUUUAACAAUUACUAGUAAUUAUUCAUUGACAAUGAUAUGUUGGUGCUCCCAUCCCACCUCUAAAAAAAAUUUCUCCAUCUUCAAAAAUAUAUAAGAAAAUGAUAAAGAAAAUGAGUGGCUGAUAAGCUCUAUAUUAUUCUAAAUACUAAAUUUAUCCGUUGAAAUUUUUUAAAUUCAGAACUACUUCACAAAGUGAUAUCUUACGUAUUUUCUAUAUAGGAGCAUAAGUGUCUUCACAAAAUACUAAUUCCUUUAGUUCAAUUUUUCUACCCAACCAAACAAGCAAAGAGAACACUUAUCUUUUCUUACCCAGUUUCUCUUUUCUCGAAUACAUAGGUGUUAUUCAAAAAUCUAAAAAAAUGUGACAAAAUUAUACUAGGAGUUAUUUAUCUUUAUUAUUGAUUUUUAUUGCGAAGUUGUAGUGCACCAUUCUUAUCGUGGAGCAAACUUUUGUGCGGAUACAUUGACAAAUUACGAGUGUUUAUUGGAUAAAAAGAUGAAAUUUUAAGAGUCAUAUCCGGUGAAUUUUAGUCAUUUGUUAAUUACUAAUGUAAUUGGGAGAAUUUCUUCCGCUAUAUUAAUCUUGUGUAAUCUUUUUUCUCUUUUCUCGAAUACAUAGGUGUUAUUCAAAAAUCUAAAAAAAUGUGACAAAAUUAUCCUAGGAGUUAUUUAUCUUUAUCUUCUUUUUUCCCCAAAUUGAUCACUUAUCUUUAUAAAUGUGCACAACUAAAUCUUUUAUCAUAUUUGUUUGUAACAUAUUCAUCAAUUAUUUUAUUUAUUUAUAACAUAUUCAUCCUUUAUCUUAUUUUUUAUCUCACACGUGUCAUUUAUCUUUAUAAAUGUGUACGAAUAUUUCAAAGGGAUGGGCUGCAAUAUUUCAAUGUUUGGUCGCGAGGUAAGGAAAGUUUGACAAAAAAUUUAUUCCCACCAAAUAUCGAACUCAGGUUCUCCCGAACAAUUCAUCCUUAAGGGAGCUAAUUUACUCUAUAUUAUCCAAUAAACAUGGAUGUUCUUGCGAGUAUAUUUGGAAAGACACUAAAUGUUGGAUUUUAAAUGUUAGUGGUUCAGUCGAAUGUUGGAUAUAAAAUGUUGCGAGUAUAUCAGAACUGUGGUUCAAUAGUGUUUAUAAAAUUUGGACACCACUCUCUUACAAGCCGAUUUUAUAAGAUCGAAUUAAACUAACUCAAAUUCUAACCAAACCCUUUGAUUGAUUGUUACUAUGUCUGCACAAGAUCUGUUAUUCUUUUGUAUUGCCUUAAUCUCAUGACUUGUGUAUAUCUAUCUUUCUGAUUUAAGGGGCUAUAAAAUAUUUAUUCCAGGAUCCUGUUUGUUACACUACACUGUAAGAUUGUUUCAGAUGCUAAAUUAGCGUUUCAGAUCAGAGAUUAGUUCUAUAACAAUGUGUUAACCUAUUACUAUCACUUUCUACCCUUGAGGCCUUGACAAAUGAGUUUGUUCUGACUAUUGAAACGAGAGAGACGAACAUGGACAAAAACUAACCUAAUUGAAAUGCAAUGGUGACAACUGAGNNNNNNNNNNNNNNNNNNNNNNNNNNNNNNNNNNNNNNNNNNNNNNNNNNNNNNNNNNNNNNNNNNNNNNNNNNNNNNNNNNNNNNNNNNNNNNNNNNNNNNNNAUAUCUAUAUCCAUAUAUGAUACUUAUCACAUAGCCAUAUAACAUAUUCAUAUAUGAUACAAGAAAGAGUGGAUGAAUCCAAAAAUACAAACUGUAUAUCACUAAAACUAGAGAAUAUGCUCACCUCUUGUUUUUCUCCUAUAGCUAGCUACAUACAAAGAGAAAAAAGUGUAAUUAUCCAAUUACACUUUCCAAUCUUGUCUUUAUUCCUCUCAAGUCUUAACCAACCAUAUGGUAAUUUAAUAUCAUGUCACUCCGCUUAUAUUACCAUUUAUUUACAUCCAUAAAAAAUGAAGAACGAGUAGAAUGUCUAAAGUGUUGGUAUGGGAGUUGUUCUGCUACUAAAAGGUAGAAAAGCCCCAUUACUCCAGAGUGUUCCUUGGUGUUAUUGUAGAUAGAUUCUAGAGUUAAAGUUUCACCAUCGAUUAUCUUGACAGAACCUGGUUGAGGAUAACAGGUGGACAUUCCUACAAUGUACCCUACUUCAUUUCCUGCUUCAUUCCCAUUUCCAUAAGUUGGUAUAGAUGAACAUAUAACCCUACCGUCCUGAAAACAUAAUUCACAAAUUUCACAAAACAAGCUACUGCACAAUGUUUAACUUCUUGAUCAAAAGUAAAAGUACUAGAAAACAACCCUGGUACAAGAGUAAACAGAUACGAAAAACGACCAAGUAUUGAAGUUUCAAAGUCAAAGUCUUACCACUAUCAAGUAUUUAAGAAUGACUAUAAGUUAUAAAUAUUGCAAAUUACCUGUCCAUAUAGAGUCGAUCCAAUUCCACCUGAAUGUUGAUGAGCAACAGCAUAUAUCACAUAGCCACCAGUUUGUAAUGGGAGAUUUGUCCUCUUUACAUGAACACAACCAUUUUCCUCCUUGUUGUUUGUACUGCAAGAUUCUACUUGAUACUCAUUCUGAAACCCAAAAAAAAACCAUGUUGCUCACUAUAUAAUACCCAACAAAGUAAUGGACUAGUGUUAUGUUUUAGAGUUAAAUUCAGAUUUAGACAAACAAACUACAUAUAUAAUUCCCUAUAAUUUAGAUACUCUACAUUCACACAAUCAGCAGACCAGUAACCGUAUUGGAUGAUCAAAGAUUCAAAGCGCGGUAUUUUGGAUUUUAAAACAAUCAAAAUCUAUAUAUUUUGUGAAUUGUCCGAUUUUUAUCCAACAGUACUGGUGCAUUGACUACGUGAAAGCGGUGUAUCCCAACUACACAUAACCCAUUUCAACAAACCAAAUGUUUCUUGAUGAACUCAUUUACCUUGCAAUUAUGAUCUGAGUUUGUUCCUUUUGAACCAUCUGAUAGUUUCAAAGUAUCACUCACAUCAAAUAUAUAUAUCUUAACAGGCACUAUAUAAUCAUCCCAAUCAAUCCAUUUCACUGUGUAUCUUAAGUAGAGGCUUCUCUUUGGACCCUCAAAACCUUCCUUCAGCUUGCACUGUGUAUAAUCAUAACAACAUAACAAACCUCCUUUAUAAUCUGGCCUAAUAGACCUUNNNNNNNNNNNNNNNNNNNNNNNNNNNNNNNNNNNNNNNNNNNNNNNNNNNNNNNNNNNNNNNNNNAUCUGGCCUAAUAGACCUUCCAUAUGAAUCCACCGUAACAUUAUAAAGGUCACACUUACACUCAGUACACCCUGAUUUAUCCUCUGCGCCACGCGUAUCAAUAGCAUGAAUAUUAACCAUCCAUUUCUCCUCAAACCCUUCCGGAAUCUCUGCAGGAUUACCUAUCUCAAUUCCAAAAGGAUCCGGAAUAUCAGUCGCUGUUCCUCGUGUUUCGGAUCCAAGGCCAAAGUACUGUCCAAGAGUAUCUCCCUGACAUAUGCCACUGUUCCUAACAUGAACUCUAUCAGAGUAUUUACUUUGAUGAUAUCUUACAACAAGCCAAUGAUGGAGAUAAGUUUCAUGGAGAGGUACAGGAAUACCAGCUUCAUCAACAACUUCAGCAUUGAAACUCUUGAGUGCUAUAUGACCUCUUGGAAAGUCAAUAUCAUAAUAAAAUCUAUUGCUAACUAAUCCAGGUCCUAGCUCAAAUUUAGGGGACAAAAAAACAGCUGAUUUUAUCUUAGCUUCAGUCUUCAGAAUAGAACCUGAGCAUGAUGUGCUCAACAACAGAAGAAGUAUUGCAAGUGAAAAUACAAAAUUUCCAGACAUAGAAGUGGAACACAUGUUGAUCUGUUAGCAAAAUCUUUAUUAGUAAUUAUUAUUAAUAAAACAUUAAAGAGCCGAUUGUGCUCAUAAAAUUCAUUGACAUGUAAAGUACAAUAGAAUUAUUAUGCAAUUAAAUGAGUAUAAUGAUCAAAAGAUAAAUCUUGCAAAAAAGUCCUCUUAGGAAGCCUUUAAAGAAUUGAAGUAAGCCAAAGAAUAAACAAGAUGUACAAAAUUACUAACUACACAAAUAAGCAUGAAAAAGACAUAGUUUGAACAGACUGACUACAAUUGUGGUGACAGAAGAACAGAACACUUUAAAAACAUUAAUUAUUAUAUGACAUAACUUGUGACCAAACAAACUUGUUUUAUAUAAACGAAGUUUUUUUUUUUGGUCAAGUAGCCUGGUGGCUAGAAAAUCCACUUUAAAGGUGAAUAAGUGGAGUGCUCAGGUUCGAACCCAGGCUCCUGCACAUAUAGUGCGAUGUCCCUAUCAACUGAGUUAAGUUCACGAGCACAUACAAAGUUAUAAUUAGCAAUAUUAGAUGGAGAUUAUAGAAACUAAUGACCAAACAAAAAGGAUGGAGUAUUGUGCAAGUAUAUGAUCAAGACUCAAGAAUAGAUAAAUGAAAGUAAAAAGUAGUACUAAUAUAGAACUUAACACCAAACUGAGACAUGUAAAAAGUGAAGAAAAAUUGAAGGAACAGAAGCAAUAGGCAACAAGAGGAUGGAGAAGAGAUUGUAUAC
rnacentral:lncRNA from 1 species